UGGGGAAUAUUGCACAAUGGGCGGAAGCCUGAUGCAGCGACGCCGCGUGAGGGAUGACGGCCUUCGGGUUGUAAACCUCUUUCACCCAUGACGAAGCGUGAGUGACGGUAGUGGGAGAAGAAGCGCCGGCCAACUACGUGCCAGCAGCCGCGGUAAGACGUAGGGCGCGAGCGUUGUCCGGAUUUAUUGGGCGUAAAGAGCUCGUAGGCGGUUUGUCGCGUCGUUCGUGAAAACUCACAGCUCAACUGUGAGCUUGCGGUCGAUACGGGCAGGCUAGAGUUCGGUAGGGGAGACUGGAAUUCCUGGUGUAGCGGUGAAAUGCGCAGAUAUCAGGAGGAACACCGGUGGCGAAGGCGGGUCUCUGGGCCGAUACUGACGCUGAGGAGCGAAAGCGUGGGGAGCGAACAG
rnacentral:rRNA from 1 species